CAAGAGAUUUUUCAAGACCUUGCUCCAUUGCUGUGGCACUCCUUUGGCAUCGUUGCUGCACUGCUCCAGGAGAUUGUGUCAAUCUACCCUUCACUUUCAUCUCCUACUUUGUUGCCAGUUGCAUCAAACCGUGUCUGCAAUGCACUUGCACUUCUUCAGUGUGUUGCUUCACACCCUGAGACCAGGAUCUCGUUCUUGAAUGCUCACAUCCCACUGUACCUGUUCCUAAAUACUACCAGCAAGACCAGACCUUUUGAGUACUUGAGGCUUACCAGCUUGGGUGUUGUUGGUGCUCUUGUGAAGGUUGACGAUUCUGAAGUUAUUGGACACAAGCAGCUGCUUGAAAGGACAUCUAGAAAAAAGGGGAUUUUGUCUACUUGCUUGAAAAUUGGAAAGGGACAUUUUCUUGACAAUUUAACCCAUCAACUGUCAAUUGCUUACAUGUUGUCGUUUCUCACGGUUUGA
rnacentral:rRNA from 1 species